rnacentral:rRNA from 1 species
UCCCUCAGGCUGAUUGGAAACCAGCCGUAGAGUGUAAAGGCAUAAGGGAGCUUGACUGCGAGAGGGACACCUCGAGCAGGUGCGAAAGCAGGUCUUAGUGAUCCGGUGGUUCCGAAUGGAAGGGCCAUCGCUCAUCGGACAAAAGGUACCCCGGGGAUAACAGGCUUAUCUCCCCCAAGAGUCCACAUCGACGGGGAGGUUUGGCACCUCGAUGUCGGCUCAUCGCAUCCUGGGGCUGGAGUUGGUCCCAAGGGUUUGGCUGUUCGCCAAUUAAAGCGGUACGCGAGCUGGGUUUAGAACGUCGUGAGACAGUUCGGUCCCUAUCCUCCGUGGGCGCAGGAAAUUUGAGAGGGGCUACCCCUAGUACGAGAGGACCGGGGUGGACGAACCUCUGGUGUUCCAGUUGUCGUGCCAACGGCACAGCUGGGUAGCUACGUUCGGAACGGAUAACCGCUGAAAGCAUCUAAGCGGGAAGCCGGCCUCAAGAUAAGAUUUCCCUCUCCGCUUUGCGGAGCUGAAGGCCACCCGAAGACUACGGGUUUGAUAGGCUGGGUGUGUAAGCGUGGCAACACGUUGAGCUAACCAGUACUAAUCGGCCGUGAGGCUUGACCCAA